rnacentral:rRNA from 1 species
AACGCUAGCUACAGGCUUAACACAUGCAAGUCGAGGGGUAGCACGGAGGAAGCUUGCUUCCUUGGGUGACGACCGGCGCACGGGUGAGUAACGCGUAUCCGACCUACCCAUAACUCGGGCACAGCCGCUCGAAAGAGUGAUUGAUUCCCGAUAUGUCAUUAGAGUAGAUUUAAUGAUGAAAGAUUCAUCGGUUAUGGAUGGGGAUGCGUAAGAUUAGGUAGUAGGCGGGGUAACGGCCCACCUAGCCGACGAUCUUUAGGGGUUCUGAGAGGAAGGUCCCCCACACUGGUACUGAGACACGGACCAGACUCCUACGGGAGGCAGCAGUGAGGAAUAUUGGUCAAUGGGCGGAAGCCUGAACCAGCCAAGUAGCGUGAAGGAUUACAGCUCUACGGGUUUUAAACUUCUUUUAUAUAAGAGUAAUGUGCACUACGUGUAGUGUAUUGCAAGUAUUAUAUGAAUAAGCAUCGGCUAACUCCGUGCCAGCAGCCGCGGUAAUACGGAGGAUGCGAGCGUUAUCCGGAUUUAUUGGGUUUAAAGGGAGCGUANGCNGGGAUAUUAAGUCAGUCGUCAAAGCCUGUGGCUCAACCACAGCCCGCGAUUGAUACUGGUAACCUUGAGUGCGGAUGAGGUGGAUGGAAUUCNUGGUGUACCGGGGAANUGCUUAAAUUCACGAAGAACUCCGAUUG